UACGUAGGGUGCAAGCGUUAAUCGGAAUUACUGGGCGUAAAGCGUGCGCAGGCGGUUAUGUAAGACAGUUGUGAAAUCCCCGGGCUCAACCUGGGAACUGCAUCUGUGACUGCAUAGCUAGGGUACGGUAGAGGGGGAUGGAAUUCCGCGUGUAGCAGUGAAAUGCGUAGAUAUGCGGAGGAACACCGAUGGCGAAGGCAAUCCCCUGGACCUGUACUGACGCUCAUGCACGAAAGCGUGGGGAGCAAACAGG
rnacentral:rRNA from 1 species